UACGUAGGGGGCUAGCGUUGUCCGGAUUUAUUGGGCGUAAAGAGCGUGUAGGCGGCCAGGUAGGUCUGGUGUGAAAACUCGAGGCUUAACCUCGAGAUGUCAUCGGAAACCAUCUGGCUAGAGUCCGGAAGAGGAGAGUGGAAUUCCUGGUGUAGCGGUGAAAUGCGCAGAUAUCAGGAAGAACACCAAUGGCGAAAGCAGCUCGCUGGGACGGUACUGACGCUGAGGCGCGAAAGCGUGGGGAGCGAACAGG
rnacentral:rRNA from 1 species